UACAGAGGGGGCAAGCGUUGUUCGGAAUUACUGGGCGUAAAGGGCGCGUAGGCGGCCUGUUAAGUCGAACGUGAAAUCCCCGGGCUCAACCCGGGAACUGCGUCCGAAACUGGCAGGCUCGAAUUCGGGAGAGGGAUGCGGAAUUCCAGGUGUAGCGGUGAAAUGUGUAGAUAUCUGGAGGAACAUCGGUGGCGAAGGCGGCAUCCUGGACCGAUAUUGACGCUGAGGCGCGAAAGCCAGGGGAGCAAACGGG
rnacentral:rRNA from 1 species